rnacentral:rRNA from 1 species
CUAAGUUUGAUGGCGACCGGCGCACGGGUGAGUAACACGUAUCCAACCUGUCGAUGACUCGGGGAUAGCCUUUCGAAAGAAAGAUUAAUACCCGAUGGCAUAGUUCUUCCGCAUGGUAGAACUAUUAAAGAAUUUCGGUCAUCGAUGGGGAUGCGUUCCAUUAGGUUGUUGGCGGGGUAACGGCCCACCAAGCCUUCGAUGGAUAGGGGUUCUGAGAGGAAGGUCCCCCACAUUGGAACUGAGACACGGUCCAAACUCCUACGGGAGGCAGCAUG